rnacentral:lncRNA from 1 species
CCCGCCAGUUGGCGCCCAGGUCCCGCUGGGACUGCGCCCCCGGGCCCUUCCCGAGCUCUCCGCCCCUCGUAGCACUGAGAAAACCUAAGGCUUCACUGGAGCGCGCGGUGUCCAAAGAUUACAGUCUCCCCCGCUCCGCCAGGAAGUAGCCUCCCCCAGAAAAACAGCUGAGACUUGAGUCCCAAACCCUGCUGAGAUCCAGGGUCUAGUGUAAACUCUUCAGCUACCAGGGCGUGGCGCUUGGUGAGAAUUUGCCAGCCAGCACUGGCAUGUAGCUAAGUCUAGACGGCUCCGAGUGGCUUGUGAGCGGGAUCCACGAGGGGAGGUGAGAAGAGGGAAACCCAAGUGCACCUGACCUUUGCUCUCAGCGUACAUAGUAGCGGCAGCCACCUAGAUAGAUGCCCAAGGCCUGAGGGUGGUGCCUAUCUGGCCUCUUCGGACCUUCAGGUUAUGAAGCCAUCAAAGACACGAUGAGGUCUCCACGUGGUUCCACUCGGGUCUCAGGAAGUCAAGAAUGCAAGAUGCGGGAGGCGCUGGGUGCGGAGUUCGCUCGGCGACUUCAGAAGUUGGGCUUAGCAAGACAUCUGAACGCUGAACCCCCGUGAUGCCGCUGGACUGAGCACCAACCACACCCAAGCAUGGAUCACGCGGGACCCGGAACGGUCCCCCACCCCCAACCCAGCGCCUCCCCAGGCUCCCCAGAGCGCUACGUGCCAAGAAGGCUGUCAGAUGGAGUUAGUCAAAGGGAUGCCAUUGACUUUCGAGCGCUGGAGAUUGAAUUUCAGCCAGCUCGACCAAGACCACGAAGUCUUACUUACAGCCGCAGAAAGAAGUAAGUGCGAGUUGUUUGGGUUGAGCGCAGAGCCACGUGUGUACGGUCAUCCACAAGAAGGAAUUCUGAGUCAGUGGUUCUGGAAAUGUUAAGAUUGACAAUCUGCAGACCGAUCUGUUCUUAUGUUUGUCACUACGUUCCCAAACAACAACAACAACUUGGAUUUUUAUAUGUUCACAUAAACUGUUAACCACUGUCACUCUGAACAAGAAAGGAAGAGAAAUUGUAUGCUUUUCUUGACUCUGAGGAAUUUUUUCCCACGAUUAUAUUUAUAAUUCAGAAAGCCAAUAAAAGAAGCAAAUUAGAAGUUA